GACGAACGCUGGCGGCGUGCUUAACACAUGCAAGUCGAGCGGAAAGGCCCUUCGGGGUACUCGAGCGGCGAACGGGUGAGUAACACGUGAGUAAUCUGCCCUUGGCUUUGGGAUAACUACCGGAAACGGUGGCUAAUACCGGAUACGACAACCGUCUGCAUGGGCUGGUUGUGGAAAGUUUUUUCGGCCAGGGAUGUGCUCGCGGCCUAUCAGCUUGUUGGUGGGGUAAUGGCCUACCAAGGCUUCGACGGGUAGCCGGCCUGAGAGGGUGACCGGCCACACUGGGACUGAGACACGGCCCAGACUCCUACGGGAGGCAGCAGUGGGGAAUAUUGGACAAUGGGCGGAAGCCUGAUCCAGCAACGCCGCGUGAGGGAUGACGGCCUUCGGGUUGUAAACCUCUUUCAGUACCGACGAAGCGCCGAUGAUGGUGGUGACGGUAGGUACAGAUGAAGCACCGGCCAACUACGUG
rnacentral:rRNA from 1 species